CACGUAGGGGGCGAGCGUUGUCCGGAUUUAUUGGGCGUAAAGAGCUCGUAGGCGGCUUGGUAAGUCGGGUGUGAAACCUCCAGGCUCAACCUGGAGACGCCACCCGAUACUGCUAUGGCUAGAGUCCGGUAGGGGAGCGUGGAAUUCCUGGUGUAGCGGUGAAAUGCGCAGAUAUCAGGAGGAACACCAGCGGCGAAGGCGGGUAGCUGGGCCGACACUGACGCUGAGGCGCGAAAGCCAGGGGAGCGAACGGG
rnacentral:rRNA from 1 species